GCUUCCUUCGUCUAGCGGUUAGGACGGUGCCCUCUCACGGCGCAAACAGGGGUUCGAUUCCCCUAGGGAGUACCA
rnacentral:tRNA from 1 species